GCUGGGAGAGGAAUAAUGUUUUCUCGAAUACUGCAAGCUAUAUCCUUUCAUGGUAGUGGAGACAAGAUUAAAUUACCUCCUUCCUGUUUCGCAGAAUUGUCUGAUCAAGGUGCUUUUGACAAAGGACCAAUAUAUUUCCAAUUAUCAGUGAUUCAUCAAGAUGGUCCAUCUGAGACAAAGACUACUGACCCAAAGCAGCAG
rnacentral:misc_RNA from 1 species